UCAUUGUUCAGGAGAAUAGUCCGAGAAUCCAAGAUGUCUACAAUUUCUGAGAUACUGAAUUUGGGAUUUCCUAGUGUCAGUUAUAAAUCAUCAAAAUUAAAAUAAAUAAACAUUUGAAAUAUGUCACGAGGAUGCGGGGAUGAACUCAAGCGCAGACAGGAUGCACUACACACAAGGUUUAUACUGAACAAAAAGGGAAAACAAAACCCACAAGGGGGUAAAACAGCGACUAGGGAAAAGACGAACACUUAACAAGACUCUGACUAGACUGAAAACACAGUAAAGCAAAAAGACUCCUCACUCUGGUUAUCACACGACAGCAAUACAAUCCACAGGUUUGACAAUGUGCAACAAUGAACCACACCAGACAGCGAACACAAGGGGAUUGAAAUAGGGAGACUAAUGAUAACAUAACAGGUGACACAGGUAAAGCAAUAAUGACAAAACGAGGAGUACAAGGGGGCGGGGCAAGGGAACGAGACAACACAAGCACAUGACCCAAAGACAAGGCCAUGUGCUUGCACACUAAACACGUGUCUGUCAUGAUCCUGCCUCAAGACUAGAGAAAAAUCAAGGACAAGAGGGCAGAAUCAUGACAGAACCCCUCCCUUAAGGAGCGGCUUCCAGACGCUCCUCAAGGGGACAUCAAAUGCGGGACAUGACUGACUGUGACACAGACACAAACCAACAAAACAUGACAAAUAACAAUAAAGGUAAACAAGAAUACACAACGACAGGGUUCGGGUGACAUAUCAGAAAUAACAAACAAGGAAGGGGAGGAGGCGGGAUAACAAAGUUCGUGGGGAGAAGUCCAUGGUGGAUGGGUGGAGCGGAGGUCUUAGGUUGACGGGAUGAUGGCUGAUGACGAGGGGUCCGGGCAGGUCUGGAUGGCGUAGAGUGGGAAGGGAGCUUGGGAGCGGGGUUGUACUGUGACGGGGUACAGCAGGCAACUGUGGAGCGGAAAAAGGUGCUGGGCUCACAGAAGCAGACCCAGAGUCGAUGCUUCCCCACACCGAAUCGACACUCGGCAUCUCGGCCUCUGUAGCGGCGUCGAUAGAAGCUGACUCUGGGUCAGCGCUCUCUGCAACCGGCUUGGGGUCAGCGCUCUCUGCGGCUUUAGGGACAGGGUCUGGGGACAAGAUAGGUCUGACAGGAACCUCUAGGAUUUGGACAAGGCGUGACAAAUAUUCCGACAGGGUCUUGCCAGCAAUGACGACAGGCAUCUCCUGACGAGCUGAAACAGACUGUAAGACUGAUUUAGCAGCAGAAUCGACCGCGCCUCUCUCCUCAGCUCUCACCACUGCAGACUCAGAUACUGCUCUCUCGGUUACUGGUUCGGAAACCUCCCUCACUGCAGUAGUUUCAGGAACAACAGUCUCUCCUGCAGUCUUCGGAACAGCCUUCCCUUUUGCAACCUCUGAAACCGUGCUUACAGCGGCAGGCUCAGGAACAACGCUCUCGGUUACAGUGGCGGGUUGGGGAGCCAUCGCGGACUCAGGGGGAGAUGGGGACGGAGGACAGAGAGCACCCCUCUUCCUCCUCUUUCUCCUUGGCCGCGGAGCAGAGGCAAUAGCCGGAUCUGUGAUUGGUUGGGG
rnacentral:lncRNA from 1 species